AUGCUUGAGUCCUUGAUAGUUUACAAUUUACAGUUCUUACUAUGUCGUGACUCUGUGGUGGGAUCACAAACUGAACUGAGUGGGUUCUCCUGGCUCCUGCACCUGGGUGGACCCAGCUGUUGCAGCUGCCUGUGGACAGGCCAGGGGUGGGAGUGGGGGAGGGCAGUUGGUAGGCACUUCAGGUGGAUGAUUUGGUUCAUGACUUGUGCUUUUUCUUGUUUUGCCUGCAGAUGGCAGCACGCCCUGGACUUGUCUGCACCGCAAGCGGCCCUGAGGAGGGACAGCAGGGAGACAAGAAAAUGGACUCCCCUCUGCAACCUGCAAUGUACCAGGGUUUGCAGCCUAUUGGAGGAAAACAACAUCAAGGGCUGCUGAGGAAACCUGUACCCUGCUAACAAGAGGACUUUUGGAUCUGUGCAAAUAAUGUGAAAUAAGACCAAACGGUCCCAGAAAAUGACAGCCUGGGCAUGACCCAACCCCACCAACCAGCGGGCAUCACUCCCGGAGGAAAAGACUCCACCUUGAACCAGGCCCAAGGCUUUUCCUGGGACUUCAUUUCUGUCUUUGGCAGUCCCUGUUCCAAGCUUCCAGAGAUCUGAGUAAGUGCUUAGCUUGCACACAGCCCACUGACAGAUGUUGAAAACUGAUAUAUCAAGAAGGGAUGGUUUGCAUUUGUCUUCCCUGAUUAGCAUAUUAGCCUCUCUCUUCCUAUUGCCAAGUGAACUAAAUGAAUAAACCAGCCCAAUUAAAGUGACCCCUUCGGAGU
rnacentral:lncRNA from 1 species